AGCAGCCGCGGUAAUUCCAGCUCCAAUAGCGUAUAUUAAAGUUGUUGCAGUUAAAAAGCUCGUAGUUGAAUUUCGGGGUUAGUAGGUUGGUCAUGCCUCUGGUAUGUACUGGUCUCACUGAUUCCUCCUUCCUUAUGAACCGUAAUGCCAUUAAUUUGGUGUUGCGAGGAAUUUGGACUGUUACUUUGAAAAAAUUAGAGUGUUUAAAGCAAGCUAACGCUUGAAUACAUUAGCAUGGAAUAAUGAAAUAGGACGUUCGAUCUUAUUUUGUUGGUUUCUAGGAUUGACGUAAUGAUUAAUAGGGACAGUUGGGGGCAUUAGUAUUCAAUUGUCAGAGGUGAAAUUCUUGGGGUUUAUUGAAGACUAACUACUGCGAAAGCAUUUGCCAAGGAUGUUUUCACUAAUCAAGACGAAAGUUAGGGAUCGAAGACGAUCAGAUACCGUCGUAGUCUUAACCAUAAACUAUGCCGACUAGGGAUCGGAUGAUGUUAAUUUUUAAUGUACUCAUUCGGCGCCUUAC
rnacentral:rRNA from 1 species